rnacentral:rRNA from 1 species
AUUGAACGCUGGCGGCAGGCCUAACACAUGCCAGUCGAGCGGAUGAAGGGAGCUUGCUCCUGGAUUCAGCGGCGGACGGGUGAGUAAUGCCUAGGAAUCUGCCUGGUAGUGGGGGAUAACGUCCGGAAACGGGCGCUAAUACCGCAUACGUCCUGCGGGAGAAAGAGGGGGAUCUUCGGACCUCACGCUAUCAGAUGAGCCUAGGUGGGAUUAGAUAGUUGGUGGGGUAAAGGCCUACCAAGUCGACGAUCCGUAACUGGUCUGAGAGGAUGAUCAGUCACACUGGAACUGAGACACGGUCCAGACUCCUACGGGAGGCAGCAGUGGGGAAUAUUGGACAAUGGGCGAAAGCCUGAUCCAGCCAUGCCGCGUGUGUGAAGAAGGUCUUCGGAUUGUAAAGCACUCUAAGUUGUGAGGAAGGGCAGUAAGUUAAUACCUUGCUGGUUUGACGUUAACAACAGAAGAAGCACCGGCUAACUUCGUG